rnacentral:rRNA from 1 species
GUGUCAGCAGCCGCGGUAAUACGUAGGGAGCAAGCGUUGUCCGGAUUCACUGGGUGUAAAGGGUGCGCAGGCGGAUUGGUAAGUCAGGGGUGAAAUCUCACGGCUUAACCGUGAAAUUGCCUUUGAUACUGCCAAUCUUGAGUUCGGGAGAGGUCGAUGGAAUUCCAGGUGUAGCGGUGAAAUGCGUAGAUAUCUGGAAGAACACCAGUAGCGAAGGCGGUCGACUGGCCCGUAACUGACGCUCAGGCACGAAAGCGUGGGUAGCGAACAGGAUUAGAUACCCUGGUAGUCC